UUUUUUUUCUAAAGAAUGAUAUUUAAUCUAGUCUCCAUAUUAUUCAUUUGAUUUUUUAAUAUUAAAGUAAAAUUCUUAGUAUAACCGAAAUUUUUCGUAUAACCUAAAUUUCAACAAAAUAUUUCAUUUUUUAUUUCAAAAUAAAUAUAUAAGAAGAUAUUUUAUCUCAUUAGAAUAAUUUUUAUUUUGAGAGAAUAAUUUGAAGGUUUUUAUAUUUUGCGGCAUAAUUUAAUAUAAUCAUUAUGAGCAAUACUGGAAAAUUUAAAAAAAAUGAUCAAAUAAAAAUUUAUUUCAUUAAAAGAAUAUGUUCCUAAAAAAUUAAAUUAGUUUAUUUUUAAUUGCUACAAUAGAUAUAUUUAUGUUGUGGUAAGUAUAUUUAAAUAUAUUACAUGUAUAUAAAUAUCGCCCUUUAUAAGUAUGUUUAUAUUAUAUAUUAAUAUAUUAUUUAUACUAUUAUUUAAAAAAUAAAUUAUAAAAAUAUAUAAAACUUUGAAGAGCAUAUAUUUCUAAAUAAAAAUAUGGUAUUUAUUUCUCUAAUUUUUCAUUAUAUAUAUUUUACUAUAUAUAGUUAAGUUAAACAAAAUAAUAGAACAAACAAAGAAAAAUAAAUAUACAUCUAUUAUUUCAAAAUUUUAAAUAUUAAAAUUUUAAAAAUAAAAUAAAUUAAUGAUAGUCUUAAUUAUUAAUAUUAAUGGAAAAAGUUUUUUUUAUAAAUAAAAAAUGGCACACCAUAUGUAAUCGUCAUUUCCAUUUUUUUACAUUUGACUUGAAGGAAAAAAAAAAGAAGAAUUGAAUAUUUCAUACCUAAAAUAUUUUAUUUCAGAGAUUUUGUUUUUAAAAUUUAUUUUUUUAAAAAUCGACUUGAAUUUGCUUCUAUUGCAAAUUUAAUAUUAUCAAUCCAUUGAUUAAAUCAACGUUAUUUCAAUUUUAAAUUACAUGACCUAGCAAAUUUUCAUUGCAGACGAUUUUUAUAAAAUCAAUGAAUGCAAAUUUCCUAAAAUUUAAUAAAUUUGCCUGUUAGUUGAGCACAUUGUUGAUACACAUAUAUUUAUUCUAAAUAUUAUUUUCACUCACCAUUUUAAUGCCUGUAUAGCUGAUAUUUUUGCACUAUUGCAUCCUUGUUUUGUGUACUGCUACAGAUAAAGAUGAUCAGAAAAACAAGUAUUUUGGAGUGGAGGUUAUUUGUACCAGCUCAUAGAUAGAUAUAUUUAAAUCUACUUUGAGUCGGUACGAAUCA